UACGAAGGGGGCUAGCGUUGCUCGGAAUCACUGGGCGUAAAGGGUGCGUAGGCGGGUUUUUAAGUCAGGGGUGAAAUCCUGGAGCUCAACUCCAGAACUGCCUUUGAUACUGAAGAUCUUGAGUCCGGGAGAGGUGAGUGGAACUGCGAGUGUAGAGGUGAAAUUCGUAGAUAUUCGCAAGAACACCAGUGGCGAAGGCGGCUCACUGGUCCGGUACUGACGCUGAGGUGCGAAAGCCAGGGGAGCGAACGGG
rnacentral:rRNA from 1 species